rnacentral:rRNA from 1 species
UACGGAGGGUGCAAGCGUUAAUCGGAAUUACUGGGCGUAAAGCGCACGUAGGUGGUUUUCUAAGUCAGCUGUGAAAUCCCCGGGCUCAACCUGGGACUUGCAGUUGAAACUGUUAGACUUGAGUACGAGAGAGGUGAGUGGAAUUCCCAGUGUAGAGGUGAAAUUCGUAGAUAUUGGGAAGAACACCAGUGGCGAAGGCGGCUCACUGGCGUCGUAACUGACGCUCAGGCGCGACAGCGUGGGGAUCAAACAGG